rfam:Picea glauca, whole genome shotgun sequence.
ACAUGCCUACAACAUAGCAUUAAUGCACUUGAUCCCAUUAGAACUCCAUAAUUAAGCAUGCUCAGGAUAGAAUAGUACUGGGAUGGAUGACUGCCCAGGAAGUCCUAGUGUUUUACAUGCC